UGCAUGCAAUUAUUGGACAUGAACGAGGAAUUCCUAGUAAGUGCGAGUCAUCAGCUCGCGUUGAUUACGUCCCUGCCCUUUGUACACACCGCCCGUCGCUACUACCGAUUGAAUGGCUUAGUGAGACCUCCGGAUUGAGUUGCUGAUGCUUCGCGGUAUCGGCUUUUUGAAAAGCUGGUCAAACUUGGUCAUUUAGAGGAAGUAAAAGUCGUAACAAGGUAACCGUAGGUGAACCUGCGGUUGGAUCAUUA
rnacentral:rRNA from 1 species